UUCAUGAACCCAUGCUGGCUGGGCCUGAUCCCCCAGCUGUCCUGCACAUGCCUUGUGAUCUCCUUCAAGGUGAUCUGCUCUAUAACCUUUCUGGGCACCGAGGUCAGGCUGACAGGCCUGUAGUUCCCUGGAUCCUCCUUACGACCCUUCUUGUAGAUGAGAGUCGCAUUAGCAAGCCUGCAAUCCUCUGGGACCUCCCCAGUUGACCAGGAAUGCUGAUAGAUGAUAGAAAGUGGUUUGCCACAUAGGGGCUGUAUGGCCCUUGGUAGAAGACGACCAAGUCCCUUCCCUGGUGUGCUCUGAGCUUCUACAGUGGAGAUGCACCAUAAGUCCUCUGCAUAAAGGCAUCACCAACCUCUCAACUAUUCCCAGUUUCACUGGAUUUGCGCAGGCUUCUUGCUGCUCCAAAGGUAGCAACAGCCCAUUUCAGCAAUGCCCAGCGUCCUGGAAAUACUGGAGGAUUUUCUCUCCUGGGUAAGUAAUAAAUUCUCCCAGUCAAAAGCCUCCUGGUGGGCCUUGUUGUACAUUCAUUUUCUGUAAGCCUGACAACCGUCUGAGAUAGCUUUAUCUUCUGCCUGGCUCUGCUGAUAAAAUAAACUGCAGGAGAAAUUUAUAUGCACGUGAAACCAUCCAGGGCAACGGAUAUACAAAACGUGUCCAAAAAAUACAGAUAUCUAUCACGAUGCAUCUGACCUGAAAGAAUUGUCAGAAAACUGUAAUUAAGGAAAAACAACUCCACUCCCACUUCACUUUCAGAACGUGGGACGUGACCGUUUCAGGCUGUGUUUGGUCUGGGAGCGUCCCUCCCCAUCUGGUGAACACAAUGAGGAUUGUGUCUCAGGUAUCUUGAAACUAUUUUGCUACUGUUGGUGAAUUUAGAGGGGAAAAGCCAUGCACAAAGGGGCCUAAGUGAUUUGGCUCCGUUCGCUAUAAUUUAUGAGUCCUAAUUCCCAGUUUACUAAUCACAGUAUCACACAAUGGCCAUGACUCCAGAAAUUGCUUAAAUACGUUCCUCUGCUCUACUGGAUGUUAAACAUGUGCUUAAAAAUAGACAGAUCAUAGAAUAGCUUGGAUUGGAAGGGACCUCAAAGAUCAUCAGAUGGUCCGUUUUUGAAUGAGAAACGCUCUCAAUUUGGACUUCUAAAUGCAAUCUAGGUUUUAUAUUACUGGGAUUUACCCCUUGCCUUGUAUUUACCUGUUCUGAGGAGGGAAGUGUUCGGAGAAAGGAGGCAGAGCUGAAGUCUGAAAAAUUCUGAAGUUUUAAAUGCUCUCUGCUCGAAGUCCUCCCAGGAGAUGGGGGGCUGCAGGAGCUGCCACGUGGGGUCUUCCGGCCAGUGGGUCUCAAUGAAGUGCUCAGGGUCAGUGAGGAAGAAGAAAUCGUCAUGCCUGCAGGUGAGAGAAGAGGAUGCCAUGGAGAAAGCAAGAAAACCCUUAGCAUCUGGGGCAGCUUCCCCCACACCAGCAGAGCAGAACCAACAUCAGUAAGGAAGGGCCAAACUCUCACUGUAGUAAAUAAUAUUCUUGCUUUCUGCAUACCCAGUCCUGUGACCUCUUCCAAGAGAUUGCCCAUGUUUUGUUUUGUUUUGUUUUGAAGAAGAAAUGCAUCGCAGUUUGAAUGUGCUCAACCUGACCUUCUGGAUAUCACCACUGCUUAGGCAUUUGUGCCUGAGUAGGUCAACCUUUCCCCUCCUUGUAUUGGGUUCAUGGUGGGAAGCCUUGUUGCCUCUGACCUGACAGUUCUGAGAACACUGACAUUCAACCUGCCCAACCAGAAACAGAUCCCCUAGAUUCCCCAGGGGAUGGACCCACAAGAAGCUGUUAUCUCUGCCUGUUGCCAUAGGUGAUGUUUUAGUCUGCUUCUGCUCUUUUCUCCAUGCUCAGUUAAAAGAAACCCGUACUCACUGGUGUUAUAAACUGUUCUCAGCAAGAUAAUUACCUAUUUGAAAUUCCACAAUUAUUUCAUUAUGCGUUAUUAGGGAGAAAAAAAAUGUAAAAUGUCAAUCCCAUAAUAUAGUUAAUGGAAAUUAUUAAAUUAUACAAAUAACCUCCAUGAGAGUCAUUAUUUGCUUAGCAUGGGCUAAGAAAUCUCAAGCAAUUAUGUGCAGAGCCACAUAAGAGCAAAGUUGCCGUAAAAACAAGGAUUUGUUAUGUCAAAAAUGACACUCAGCACAAAUGAAAAUAAGUUGGUGGGGAGUGGAGGUGGUUGUCACCUGAGAAGUUGCCACCACAGAUCAAGGAGUAAGGCAUUGGAUGUAGGUGUUAAUGUGUAGAUGGUCUAUUUUUGCAUGAGGUUCCUGAGCAACCACUGGUGGUUAAAAGUGGUUAAAGGUGGACUAUCUCCAAGUGAUUUCUGGGGAUGCACCCGAAAUGAGAGCUCAAGGCCUGGCAAACCCGUUAUGUAAGGGUCUACUAGAAGGUUUGGGAUGGCUAUCUCCAAGAUGGAAUGGGCUGCCCAGGGAGGUGGUUGAGUCACCGUCCCUGGAGGUGUUCAAGAAACAUUUAGAUACAGCGUUGAGAGACAUGGUCUAGUGGGGUUAAUGGUGGUAGGUGGAUGGUUGGACUGGAUGAUCUUGUAAGUCUUUUCCAACCUAGCUAAUUCUAUGACUCUAUGAGUCUAAGAUCAGGUGGAGCCUUGUCCAUUUGUGUUGAGGAUCAAGUCUCCAGAGGUGGUGGGGAAGGGGUUGUCUCACCUGGGCAUGAACAACCUGCUCUCUGUGUCCACAGUGCCUGCACCCCAGCAGGCAUCCAGGAGCCACCACUGUCCUUCCAGCUGCACCGCGUUCCACAUGUGGCUGCUCUUCUGCUGCUGGCACCUCCGGCCUCCAUGGGCACAUGGGCCUCGGCUGAACCCUGGGACCUGCACACUGCUCAGACCUGCCUCCCUGCCACGGAGAGACAGGAGGGGAGGUAACUGCACACCAAACACUGCUUGGUGCUUGCUUUUUGGAAACCAACCCAACUUCCAUGGACAUGAAGAGCCGAAAUCCAGGAGGUUGCAUCCAAGGAAAGGGCUCUCAGCUCCACCACAUGACUGCAAAACAGUGGGACCAGACUUACCGAUGUUAUGGCAAAGCCAGAACCAUAUGGCCCGCACCAUCUCCAGUUUGCUCUGGGAUUUGGCUGUGAUCAGGGGAACAAUGGCCUGGACGGACAUCCUAGUGUGGCCUGAUUUCAGCUGCAAUGGAGAGGACAGGUCAUCACUUGAACCAGAAAUGAGUCAAAAGCACAAAAUCUCCUGCAGAGACUGAGCACGUUCUGCUUCGUGAGCUCCUAGCGCUGGCACCUCGCAACAGUAAAGAUGUGUUUGAGGUGACCCUAAUACAUCCCCUCCUGAAGGCUGCCUCCUGGCACCAAUCUGCCACUAAAUCCUUUGAAGCUCGGAUAAGUAUUUAACUGACAUCACUGGGUUGGGCCUGUUAUUGUCGUGCUGGAAAUGUGUGUUUUCUGCAAAGUGAAGGAACAAUGUAAGAGAUCUUUUUGUAUUGGGGAGGAGUAGGGAAACACAGCCAAGGAUUAGAGCAUACACUUGCCUGGUUGCCUUUCCGUGCUUGGCUACCCUGUUGCAUAUCUUCCCAAGGGAGGUGGUGGAAUCACAGUCCCUAGAGGUAUUCAAGAGCCAUGGAGAUGUGGCAUUGAGGGACAUGGUCAGUGGGCAUGGUGGGAUGGGUUGGGGUUGGACUUGGCGAUCUUAGAGCUUUUUUCCAACCUCAAUGAUUCCAUGAUCUUACCAUACUGAGCUCAUCACGGUCCCUCGUAGUAUUUCCUGAAGAGCUGGGAAUACCCACAGUAGUAAGGUCAUUUUGGAUGUGGGUUGUUUGUCUUGGGAUGUAGAAAGUCACCACAGAACUAUAGAAUAUCCUGAGUAUGAAGGGACCCAUAGGCAUUGUGGAGUCCAACUCCUGCCCAACCAUGGGUCAGCUGAUGCACAGGGAGAUGCUAAGGUUACCUGCAGGUCUACCAGGAACAAACUUGCAGAGUUGUGGGAAGACUUCCCAACAAACAUGAACUCUUGUGUGGAAGAGUUCACCCACCUGCAGCACAGAGCUGGAGCUGCUGUGGUAUGAGGGUACAUUUUAAGGAGCAACAGAGGAGAUAAUACAUCUGUUGGAUUGUUUUCCAUCUGAUGAAUCUGAUGGAUUGUUUUCCAUCUCCAGAUGCAGAUCCCAGUUGGAAACUGGUGCAAUAUGGAAGGCUUUGCAGUGACUGUGCAGCAUCUCAAAGCAUGUGAGAUAUUCUGGGUAUCUAGUAAGAUUCUCAGUGUUGGAAAAAUUUCCAAAAGUGAGUCUUGGGGAGAAGGUGGGGAAAGUUAUGGACAAAACCUCUGAGUCCUUGAUGUCUGUUUCCCUGAGAAAGGUAUAGAGUCCGUGGAGUCCAUGUGGACACCAACCAGGUUUUCAGACACAGCGCUGGGCUGUGAGAUUCUGCAAAACAGAAUUGCUUGUACUUCUGCAUGCAGAUCUGUCAGAAGAGGCCACACAAUUCCCCCAGGUGUAUAAUGACAAAUAAGCAUCCCAGCUGCACAGGCAAUGCUCACCAUGUCACAUCUUCCAGUCCUCUGCUGCUUCUUGUCUAGUUUUCACCUGUUGUAGGUCAUGUCUGAGACAGAGUGGGCAGAGCAGGCUGUUAUAAGAAGUGUUCUUCCAGAAAUAUGCUGCUUUUGUUUAUUUUUACCUAUCCCUGCUUUGCAAGGAUGAAGCGUGUGGGAAGAACAAAUGAUCUGUCCUUGCAGAUUUAAAUAGAGGGAGAAAAUAAAUAGAAAAUAAAUGGUAUUUGAAUGUAUGAUCUUGCUUGAAAAUGAGAACACCUGGAUUUUGGGCUCAGAGAUGGCUUUGCAAGGAAAAAGCUGGGCUGCCAGGCCCUGGCACAACCGCCAGGCCCUGGCACAACCGCCAGGCAGGAGAAAGCUCUGAGAUGAGUUCCCACCCCACUUCCAGGAGUUUCAAGGUGCACAGGAGUUUGCACAUCAGUAUGGCAGGCCUUAGCUGUAAUUGGUUUGACUUUGUUUAAUUUGUGGCCUGGUGGUCCCAAAAUAACAGAGAAGGGACCACGGAUGCCAUCUAUUGGAGACGUGUAGGAAGGGAGAAGCCAGGCUUGGCUUCGUUUGCAUGGGUGAUAUGCUACUGCAAACAGACUGGCUGUUUCAGCUCAAAAAUGUACUUCCAUGUCGAGUGGGUAGGUGAUAAAAUGCCUUGUUUCUAUCGCACAGCAAUAAGGCAAAGGUACAGCCUGCAGUAUGGGAUGUUCAGUGUAAACAUUGUCUAGUCAAACCCUCUUGGAAAAUGGAGCAACAAAACAGGACAAUUUCCUGGAAGUGAGUGGUUUGCUGAUGCUGUGUCUGGGCAAAGAGUGAAGGCCCUGCUGGCUGCAUCCACACAUCAGUUUUGGGGGUGUGAAACCAGAGAUUUGCUUCUCCUCCUGGUUUGGGGACCAAGGCAGCACAUAUGAAUCAAAGAAUCAUGGAAUCAUAGAAUGGCUUGGGUUGGAAGGGACCUCAAAGAUCAUGGGCAGGGGUGCCAAUCACUAAAUCGGGCACCAGCUCAGGCUGCCCAUGUCCCCAUCCAUGGCCUUGAGCACCUCCAGGAAUGGGGCACCCACAACACCUCUGGGCAGCAGUGCCAGGGCCUCACUACUCCCUUUUCUGUUGCAGGAAUGAGAAGUGUCCACAACAACGUUCACUUGGUGGCAACGCUGUGAUCAUAGCUCUUAUUCUUCAUCAAUCUCCACAGACGCACUAAACACCAUUGUAAACUGCAGGAUCCCUGGAGAACAUGAAAAUUAAUAGCAGUGCCCAUGCACUGCAGUUACCACUGAGCAAAACCCAGAAAUUCCUUUUUGCUAA